UACGUAGGGGGCAAGCGUUGUCCGGAUUUAUUGGGCGUAAAGAGCGUGUAGGCGGCUUGGUAGGUCCGCUGUGAAAACUCGAGGCUCAACCUCGAGAUGUCGGCGGAAACCACUUGGCUAGAGUCCGGAAGAGGAGAGUGGAAUUCCCGGUGUAGCGGUGAAAUGCGCAGAUAUCGGGAGGAACACCUAUUGCGAAGGCAGCUCGCUGGGACGUUACUGACGCUGAGACGCGAAAGCGUGGGGAGCAAACAGG
rnacentral:rRNA from 1 species